CUCAUGAAGGGCGCGGAUGAUGAUGAGGAUGAACAUGCGCAUACGGGCGCCGAUGAGGAAAAAGGUGACGUACAUCACCAUCACGGCGAAUAUAACAUGCAUCUUUGGCUCUCCCCAGAGAUAGCGCGGGCUACAGCGGUUGCAAUCCAUGAAAAAUUAGUGGAACUUAUGCCGCAAAGUCGAGCCAAACUCGACGCCAACCUGAAGGAUUUUGAGGCACAAUUAGCCGCAACCGAUAAACAGGUCGGUAACGAGCUCGCGCCGCUCAAGGGGAAAGGGUAUUUCGUUUUUCAUGACGCCUACGGUUACUACGAAAAACACUACGGACUCACCCCGCUCGGUCACUUUACCGUGAACCCUGAGAUACAACCUGGCGCGCAGCGUUUACAUGAAAUAAGAACACAGU
rnacentral:misc_RNA from 1 species